AUUUUCCCUUGUUUCAAAAAAAAAAGGGGGAGGGCUCUCUCAUUUCUCUCUGGCCAAAGCAAGAAUCUGGCGAAGAAAUCGCCGUAGGGUCACCGCCGGCCCUCCGAAAGGUGCAAGUGGGCGACAAGGCGAUGGAACAAGUGGCGGUGCAGAUGUGGCAGUGGGCAAGUGCGGCUGGUGGCAGAAGGCUAGCUAAGGUUUCAGCCUUUCUGGAACCCUAGUUUAACUAAUGGGUCAAUUGGGCUUGGGCUAUUAGGUUUAAUUUGUAAAUGGACAUUUGGGAUUGUUUUUGUGUUUGUCUAAUUUGGGCUUGGGCCGGCAAUUUUGGCACAUAAUCUAUGCAUCAUCUUAUCUUAAACCCAA